rnacentral:rRNA from 1 species
UACGUAGUGUGCAAGCGUUGUCCGGAAUUAUUGGGCGUAAAGAGCUCGUAGGCGGCUUGUCGCGUCGGCUGUGAAAACCUGGGGCUCAACCCCGGGCCUGCAGCCGAUACGGGCAAGCUAGAAUUCGGUAGGGGAGACUGGAAUUCCUGGUGUAGCGGUGAAAUGCGCAGAUAUCAGGAGGAACACCGGUGGCGAAGGCGGGUCUCUGGGCCGAUAUUGACGCUGAGGAGCGAAAGCGUGGGGAGCGAACAGG